CCCUUAGAUGUUCUGGGCCGCACGCGCGCUACACUGAUGCAUUCAACGAGUUUCUUCCUGGUCCGAGAGGAAUGGGUAACCUUUUGAAAGUGCAUCGUGAUAGGGAUAGACUAUUGCAAUUAUUGGUCUUCAACGAGGAAUUCCUAAUAGACGUAGUUCAUCAGACUGCAUCGAUUACGUCCCUGCCCUUUGUACACACCGCCCGUCGCUCCUACCGAUUGAAUGCUCAGGUGAGCCAUUCGGACUUUCAUCAUGCUGGUUUCCAGUUUUGAUGAAGGAAAGUCUUGCGAACCUUAUCAUUUAGAGGAAGGAGAAGUCGUAACA
rnacentral:rRNA from 1 species